rnacentral:rRNA from 1 species
AGGGUUUGAUCAUGGCUCAGAACGUACGCUGGCGGCACGCCUAAUACAUGCAAGUCGAACGAAGUAGCAAUACUUAGUGGCAGACGGGUGAGUAACAUGUAGGUAUCUUCCCAUUGGUGAGGAAUAACACGAGGAAACUUGUGCUAAUACCUCAUAAGUCUUUACGGAGAAAGCUUUAUGCGCCGAUGGAUGAGCCUGCACUUGAUUAGUUUGUUGGUAGGGUAAUGGCCUACCAAGACAAUGAUCAAUAGCUGAUUUGAGAGGAUGAUCAGCCACAUUGGGACUGAGACACGGCCCAAACUCCUACGGGAGGCAGCAGUAGGGAAUCUUGCACAAUGGGGGAAACCCUGAUGCAGCGAUGCCGCGUGAGUGAAGAAGGCCUUUGGGUUGUAAAGCUCUUUCGUCGGGGAAGAAAAUGACUGUACCCGAAUAAGAAGGUCCGGCUAACUUCGUGCCAGCAGCCGCGGUAAUACGAAGGGACCUAGCGUAGUUCGGAAUUACUGGGCUUAAAGAGUUCGUAGGUGGUUAAAAAAGUUGGUGGUGAAAUCCCAGAGCUUAACUCUGGAACUGCCAUCAAAACUUUUUAGCUAGAGUAUGAUAGAGGAAAGCAGAAUUUCUAGUGUAGAGGUGAAAUUCGUAGAUAUUAGAAAGAAUACCGAUUGCGAAGGCAGCUUUCUGGAUCAUUACUGACACUGAGGAACGAAAGCAUGGGUAGCGAAGAGGAUUAGAUACCCUCGUAGUCCAUGCCGUAAACGAUGUGUGUUAGACGUUGGAAAUUUAUUUUCUGUGUCGCAGCGAAAGCAAUAAACACACCGCCUGGGGAGUACGACCGCAAGGUUAAAACUCAAAUGAAUUGACGGGGACCCGCACAAGUAGUGGAGCAUGUGGUUUAAUUCGAAGAUACGCGCAGAACCUUACCAACACUUGACAUGUUCGUCGCGACUUUAAGAGAUUAAAGUUUUCGGUUCGGCCGGACGAAACACAGGUGCUGCAUGGCUGUCGUCAGCUCGUGUCGUGAGAUGUUGGGUUAAGUCCCGCAACGAGCGCAACCCUCACUUUUAGUUGCCAUCAUUAAGUUGGGCACUCUGAAAGAACUGCCAGUGAUAAGCUGGAGGAAGGUGGGGAUGACGUCAAGUCCUCAUGGCCCUUACGUGUUGGGCUACACACGUGCUACAAUGGCAUUUACAAUAGGAAGCAAGACGGCGACGUUAAGCAAAUCCUAAAAAAAUGCCUCAGUUCGGAUUGUACUCUGCAACUCGAGUACAUGAAGCUGGAAUUACUAGUAAUCGCGGAUCAGCGCGCCGCGGUGAAUACGUUCCCGGGUCUUGUACACACCGCCCGUCACACCAUGGGAGUUGGUUCUACCUUAAGGCAAAGCUUAAUACCUUUGACCACGGUAUAGUCAGCGACUGGGGUGAAGUCGUAACAAGGUAACCGUA